AUAUAAGCUGAACGGAGCAGCCACUUGACCUCCUGUGAGCGGUCACAGAAUAUUUUAGUUACAAGUGCUAUCAGGGUAGUUGUGAUCUCCCUUAUCGCACUUUAGAAUGUUUUCACAGUUUAGGGAUAAACAAGUCACUCCGUGGGUUAUUCGAAAUAAGAUAAUGACUUUAAAUAUAAGAUUUUAUGAGUUCUGUGCAUGUCACUUGUCAAUCGAGCCAGAGCCAUAAAUUACGAUCUGUUACUUAAAAUCCAAGGGAACAUUUGUUUGCACUUGUAAUCUGUACGUGCAGGCCAUUUGAGCCUCUAAAUAUUAUCACUUGAAAUGUUUCCCACACUACACAAAGGACUUGGGCGGGGGUCAAAAUAUAGCUCUCCCGCUCAGGGCAAAACAGAUGCGGUCUCUGCGUAGGCCAUAGAUAAGAAUAGAAUACGAAACACACCAAUUUUACUUGCUAAGAAACAUAUUGAAAUAAAAACAGUUUGAAAUGAUAACUCAACAAAUGUAGACGUCUUUCAUUAGAUCGCUCUUACACCCGGGUUACCUAAUCCUGAGCAGCUCCACGGGAAAAUAAAGGAAGUGGAUUAGGGUAAGUACAAUUAAGCAAUUUCAACAUAUAGUUAAAUUUCGCGACCCAAAUCAAAUUUAGUUGGACAUGCGGCAAAAAAGGGGAUGUACGGUUUUAAUUUCGAGUUAGCUAUACAGUGAUACCGAUGAAAAGCUAAAGGUGCCUGUUGGCCAAGAACAUCUGCGAGGGAUCAUUUGGACGCGACGCAGAGGCAGGACGUCAGUUGUCGAAAACAGCCCUGAUGCAUUGCGUCGAUGGCCGGAAUAGGCCUGGAUGCGGUGCGUCAACGGGUGGAAGUGCACCGGGAGUAGUGCGUCAGCAGAGUGUCGGUAGCCGCAGGAGCUAGCUAGUUGCUCGGCGCAGGUAUUCGUUCCCGGAACGGACUCACCGAGGGACUGUUGCUGCGAUUCGUUUGUUUAUGCGAGUUCGUCGCUACUGAGACGAAAACCUGACCUACGAAACUGUCGUUCUGGAUCAGUGGACGUACCCAAGGCCAUCUCAGCAAAACCCUAGAGCAAACCGGGCUUUUUUAAAUUGUCUAAAGGCAAUUUUAGUUUUUUUUUAAGAAUUUUACAAAAAUGUGACAAAAUACAGAAGUUAUCUAAUUUGUAAACAAGACUACAAA